UACGUAGGGUGCGAGCGUUGUCCGGAAUUAUUGGGCGUAAAGAGCUUGUAGGCGGUCUGUCGCGUCUGCUGUGAAAAUCCGGGGCUCAACCCCGGACUUGCAGUGGGUACGGGCAGACUAGAGUGUGGUAGGGGAGACUGGAAUUCCUGGUGUAGCGGUGAAAUGCGCAGAUAUCGGGAGGAACACCUAUGGCGAAGGCAGCUCGCUGGGACGUUACUGACGCUGAGACGCGAAAGCGUGGGGAGCAAACAGG
rnacentral:rRNA from 1 species